CCUACGGGAGGCAGCAGUGGGGAAUAUUGCACAAUGGGCGCAAGCCUGAUGCAGCAACGCCGCGUGAGGGACGACGGCCUUCGGGUUGUAAACCUCUUUUAGUAGGGAAGAAGCGAAAGUGACGGUACCUGCAGAAAAAGCACCGGCUAACUACGUGCCAGCAGCCGCGGUAAUACGUAGGGUGCAAGCGUUAUCCGGAAUUAUUGGGCGUAAAGAGCUCGUAGGCGGUUUGUCACGUCUGCUGUGAAAACUGGAGGCUCAACCUCCAGCCUGCAGUGGGUACGGGCAGACUAGAGUGCGGUAGGGGAGAUUGGAAUUCCUGGUGUAGCGGUGGAAUGCGCAGAUAUCAGGAGGAACACCGAUGGCGAAGGCAGAUCUCUGGGCCGUAACUGACGCUGAGGAGCGAAAGCAUGGGGAGCGAACAGGAUUAGAUACCCUGGUAGUCCAUGCCGUAAACGUUGGGAACUAGAUGUAGGGACCAUUCCACGGUUUCUGUGUCGCAGCUAACGCAUUAAGUUCCCCGCCUGGGGAGUACGGCCGCAAGGCAAAACUCAAAUGAAUUGACGGCUGAGACGNGCGAGACGACGACGAGGAGAG
rnacentral:rRNA from 1 species